AGGUGUGAACGUAUGCAGUUGUUGAUCUUAGUGGAUCAAAAGUUGUGUUAAUAAAGUGGCACAGCAAAGACAAUUCAAGUUUCAUUACGUGAAUGGUGAGUAAACUUAACUUGACAAAACUUGUUGCACUACAAUGAACUGCCUAAAUCAUCACUGUCAAAUAUUUAUUUUAUUAAUAUUUGUCUUUUUACUAAAUGAAAGUGAAAGAUCAGCUGAAGGGGGAACCGCCUAUAUGUGACGAUUGUUGGUACAAUAUUUGUGGCCGCACCUUCAUCAUUACAGUUUGGACUCUGUUGAAUACAGUUCUCAGUUCACAGGUGUUCAGGCUGAAGGUGUUUUUGAUCGCUGUGGACAGAAGCUGCAAUGGAAAGACCAAGAAGGACUUGUGGCUGUCUUGGACAAAGAUGCCAAAUAUUCCUGAUCCUUCUGAUGUCAUGGUUUUACAUCCGAAAUGUUUUUUAUGAGGUAAAUCUUUCUUUUUUUUGGCUUAUAAAUAUACAUUUGCAAAUAUAUAUAUAUAUAUAUAUAUAUAUAUAUAUAAUUCUUUGUCUUUUUUAUAAAUACUGCACUUAACCAGUCUUUUUCUUGUUGGUACAUUUUAGGACAGUUUUGGGGAGAAUCUUAAAAACAAGGUGAGUUUCUAUCAGAAAGUCUUCAAAAGGCAUCAAUGUAAACAAAACCUGAUGGUGAAACCUUUUUUUUUUUUUUUUAGAUAAUACCCAUUAAAACAUAUGCUCUACAGUUAGCAAAAUUUUCCGGCAAGGAGGCUGUGGUAAGUGUAUUUUACUGUGAUGAUGUUUGAUUUGAUUUACUUCAGAACUUGUUCUUGACAAAAAUUCUGAUUUUUAAAGGAAAAACAAUUGAACCUGAAUAAGAUUCUGUCAUCACUAGAGAAUGUUGCGGCCUCCGUAACGAACAAGAAUCAACUGGUGAACAGACAAUGAGCUUACAUUUUUGCUUGUGAAGUCUAUAAAAAUGGUCAAAUUCCAUAUGUUUUGGCUAAAUUUCAGGAAGUGUUCCAGGAUUUUUUUCACAGACUUGCUGAUAUAGUCGAAAGGAAAAAGGUCGAGGAGUGGCAACACUCUAUGAUGGAAGCGAAAAAAAUGAAUGAGCAAAUCAUGGCGAUACAGAAGAGGAUGAAGAAAGAAAUGAAAGAAACGACAAAACGAUUGCCUUUCAAAGUUGAUGUCAUGUUUUAUAAUUUACUUUAUAAUUUAAUGCGCUGCACUGAGGAGUUAAAAAUGUACUUUGACCUGAGAACCUGGAGCUACACUGCAGAAGCAGAAGACAUCGAAAGAAAGCUGGAGAAUUAUUACAUCUCUGAGUUUAAGCACGAGAUUCAUGGGGAUCUGGAUUUCUACGCUUCUGAGAACCAAGACGAACUUCACGAUGAACUCUAACAUCUUUUUGCUAGCUUUGGCUUUAGUGAAUUAUUGGAUUAAAUAUUAUGUUUUUACUAUUUGGAGAUGUUUUGCUCUUUUUUCUGGAAAUAAAAAAUAUGUCUAAAGAAACUAUAAACCUAAAAAGAAAACGCGUAAAUGAGUUUUCAUUCUUAAAAGUCACUUUCAUUUUUUCUUUAUUUGAAAACAAGAACACUGUAUCUUUUUCAUAUAAAUAUGCACAUUGUAAAUUCAUGUUUUUUCUGAAUAAAGACUUAGAGUUUACUGGACUCCAGUCACUGUGUGAUAAACUAAUGUGGGAAAACCUAAAAAAUAAACCUUUACUGGUGUACUUCAAAGGGAAGAUUUUAAAAAGUUGAGACAAAAAUACAUGCAAAGAAUUAGGAAAAUGUGUUUUAAAGAAGUGUUAUUGUAAAAGCAUUUAACUGUAAUACCUUUAGGAAUAUGUUUUAAAAUACUUUGACACUCAGGUAAACCUUUAGAUAAAACCAACACCCAAAGGACUUUCCUUCACUCCAUGAGUCAAAGAAAAUUAUUUAUAAAAAAAAA